rnacentral:rRNA from 1 species
UGGGGAAUAUUGGACAACGGGCGCAAGCCUGAUCCAGCCAUGCCGCGUGAGUGAUGAAGGCCCUAGGGUUGUAAAGCUCUUUCACCGGUGAAGAUAAUGACGGUAACCGGAGAAGAAGCCCCGGCUAACUUCGUGCCAGCAGCCGCGGUAAUACGAAGGGGGCUAGCGUUGUUCGGAAUUACUGGGCGUAAAGCGCACGUAGGCGGAUCAUUUAAGUCAGGGGUGAAAUCCCGGGGCUCAACCCCGGAACUGCCUUUGAUACUGGGUGUCUAGAGUUCGAGAGAGGUGAGUGGAAUUCCGAGUGUAGAGGUGAAAUUCGUAGAUAUUCGGAGGAACACCAGUGGCGAAGGCGGCUCACUGGCUCGAUACUGACGCUGAGGUGCGAAAGCGUGGGGAGCAAAAGCAGGAUUAGAUACCCUGGUAGUCCACGCCGUAAAACGAUGGAAGCCAGCUGUCGGCAAGUUUACUUGUCGGUGGCGCAGCUAACGCAUUAAGCUUCCCGCCUGGGGAGUACGGUCGCAAGAUUAAAA